rnacentral:rRNA from 1 species
UUUUUGGAAGUAAAAGUCGUAACAAGGUCUCCGUAGGUGAACCUGCGGAGGGAUCAUUACUGAGUGAGGGCCUUCGGGCUCGACCUCCAACCCUUUGUGAACACAACUUGUUGCUUCGGGGGCGACCCUGCCGUUUCGACGGCGAGCGCCCCCGGAGGCCUUCAAACACUGCAUCUUUGCGUCGGAGUUUAAGUAAAUUAAACAAAACUUUCAACAACGGAUCUCUUGGUUCUGGCAUCGAUGAAGAACGCAGCGAAAUGCGAUAAGUAAUGUGAAUUGCAGAAUUCAGUGAAUCAUCGAAUCUUUGAACGCACAUUGCGCCCCUUGGUAUUCCGAGGGGCAUGCCUGUUCGAGCGUCAUUUCACCACUCAAGCCUCGCUUGGUAUUGGGCGCCGCGGUGUUCCGCGCGCCUCAAAGUCUCCGGCUGAGCUGUCCGUCUCUAAGCGUUGUGAUUUCAUUAAUCGCUUCGGAGCGCGGGCGGUCGCGGCCGUUAAAUCUUUCACAAGGUUGACCUCGGAUCAGGUAGGGAUACCCGCUGAACUUAAGCAUAUCAAUAAGCGGAGGAAA